AUUGAACGCUGGCGGCAUGCUUUACACAUGCAAGUCGGACGGCAGCACAGAGAAGCUUGCUUCUUGGGUGGCGAGUGCCGAACGGGUGAGUAAUAUAUCGGAACGUACCGAGUAAUGGGGGAUAACUAAUCGAAAGAUUAGCUAAUACCGCAUAUUCUCUGAGGAGGAAAGCAGGGGACCUUCGGGCCUUGCGUUAUUCGAGCGGCCGAUAUCUGAUUAGCUAGUUGGUGGGGUAAAGGCCUACCAAGGCGACGAUCAGUAGCGGGUCUGAGAGGAUGAUCCGCCACACUGGGACUGAGACACGGCCCAGACUCCUACGGGAGGCAGCAGUGGGGAAUUUUGGACAAUGGGCGCAAGCCUGAUCCAGCCAUGCCGCGUGUCUGAAGAAGGCCUUCGGGUUGUAAAGGACUUUUGUCAGGGAAGAAAAGGCUGUUGCUAAUACCGACAGCUGAUGACGGUACCUGAAGAAUAAGCACCGGCUAACUACGUG
rnacentral:rRNA from 1 species